UACGUAGGGGGCAAGCGUUGUCCGGAAUCAUUGGGCGUAAAGCGCGUGUAGGCGGCUCGCUAAGUCUGCUGUGAAAGUCCAGGGCUCAACCCUGGGAUGCCGGUGGAUACUGUCGAGCUCGAGUCCGGAAGAGGAGUGUGGAAUUCCUGGUGUAGCGGUGAAAUGCGCAGAUAUCAGGAAGAACACCCGUGGCGAAGGCGGCUCUCUGGGACGGUACUGACGCUGAGACGCGAAAGCGUGGGGAGCGAACAGG
rnacentral:rRNA from 1 species